GUACUUAAUUUUUUCGAUUUUUUCACGUUUAAACUUUAAUACGAUUAUCAAAAUAUUGUAUGUAUAUUGUGAAUUAAUUAAGCUGACCCCAUUUUCUUAUCUUCCAAUCAAGUUUUAAUAUCUAACGUGGCUUACUCGUUAAAUUCAACAUUUAAUCGGGAUAAAACUGGAUAUUAACCUAAUAAAUUUGAAGAAAGAAUUAAGUGCAAGAAAAUUAAGGACUAGGUGGAAGUAUAGAUAUUUAAAGGAAAAAUGAUAGAAGAAAUCGUAGGAAUCAAGUGUAAAAAUUAAGAACUAAAUGGAAGGAAUUAAUGGAAAAUAUCAAGAAAAUUGAAGGUAUUGGAUUCAUAAACUAAGGAGUAAAUGGAAAGAAUUAAAGGAAUCGAGUAAUUAAACGAAGAACAAAUUGAAGAAAUUACAUUGAAAAAUUACAGAAUAAAUCAAAGAACAAGUGGAAGAAAUUAAAUAAGAAAAAUUAGUUAAAUCUAUAAUAUAGAAAAUAAAAUUAAUUUAGAACGAAUAUAUAAUCGAGGACAUUGAAAAUUCCCUUCUGUUUUUUUCUUUACUUUAUCAAUUCUUAUCGGAAGUUGUAUAUUAAAAUAUUAAAAAACAAAAUCCAAAAAAAUUACGAAAUUUCCAAUUUUUCCCGAUAAUUACCAUUUUCAGCUUCCUGUUAUCAUAAAUUUCGAAUAAAUUAUUUUAAAAAUUAACUUUUCCUUUAAAUCUUAUAAACAAAAUGGAAGUUUCCUCCUUAGU